rnacentral:tRNA from 1 species
UCCGGGAUAGCUCAGUCGGAAGAGCAGCGCACUGUUAAUGCGCGGGUCACAGGUUCGAGCCCUGUUCCCGGAGCCA